rnacentral:rRNA from 1 species
UACGUAGGGUGCAGGCGUUAAUCGGAAUUACUGGGCUUAAAGCGUGCGCAGGCGGUUUGCUAAGACAGGUGUGAAAUCCCCGGGCUUAACCUGGGAACUGCGCUUGUAACUGGCAAGCUAGAGUGUGGCAGAGGGGGGUGGAAUUCCAGGUGUAGCAGUGAAAUGCGUAGAGAUCUGGAGGAACACCGAUGGCGAAGGCAGCCCCCUGGGCUAACACUGACGCUCAUGCACGAAAGCGUGGGGAGCAAACAGG